GCCGAGAUAGCUCAACGGUAGAGCACCGCUUUCGUAAAGCGGGGGUUGAGGGUUCGAAUCCCUUUCUCGGCUCCA
rnacentral:tRNA from 1 species